GAGCAAGGGCGUCCAUAAAUUGAAUGACGUAACAUUUGCAUUGAAGGUUGGCAAUAAAGAUUAGUGAUUCUCCGUGCCUUUCAAAUCUCUCUUAUUUUGAUUAUGGCCUCGAACAAGUCACUACAUU
rnacentral:snoRNA from 1 species